rnacentral:rRNA from 1 species
GUCUAUGGCCAAACUACCCUGAAGGCACCUGAUCUAGUCUGAUCUCAGAAGCUAAGCAGGGUCAGGCCUGGUUAGUACUUGGAUGGGAAACAAACACAGAUUAGCUUCUUGGAAGCACUAGGAGCCAACU